CGCCGGCGGCAGGCCUAACACAUGCAAGUCGAGCGGUAGAGAGAAGCUUGCUUCUCUUGAGAGCGGCGGACGGGUGAGUAAUGCCUAGGAAUCUGCCUGGUAGUGGGGGAUAACGUUCGGAAACGGACGCUAAUACCGCAUACGUCCUACGGGAGAAAGCAGGGGACCUUCGGGCCUUGCGCUAUCAGAUGAGCCUAGGUCGGAUUAGCUAGUUGGUGAGGUAAUGGCUCACCAAGGCGACGAUCCGUAACUGGUCUGAGAGGAUGAUCAGUCACACUGGAACUGAGACACGGUCCAGACUCCUACGGGAGGCAAGCAGUGGGGAAUAUUGGACAAUGGGCGAAAGCCUGAUCCAGCCAUGCCGCGUGUGUGAAGAAGGUCUUCGGAUUGUAAAGCACUUUAAGUUGGGAGGAAGGGUUGUAGAUUAAUACUCUGCAAUUUUGACGUUACCGACAGAAUAAGCACCGGCUAACUCUGUGCCAGCAGCCGCGGUAAUACAGAGGGUGCAAGCGUUAAUCGGAAUUACUGGGCGUAAAGCGCGCGUAGGUGGUUUGUUAAGUUGGAUGUGAAAUCCCCGGGCUCAACCUGGGAACUGCAUUCAAAACUGACUGACUAGAGUAUGGUAGAGGGUGAUGGAAUUUCCUGUGUAGCGGUGAAAUGCGUAGAUAUAGGAAGGAACACCAGUGGCGAAGGCGACCACCUGGACUAAUACUGACANUG
rnacentral:rRNA from 1 species